GGAUGAGAAGCUUCGACUAAGGUUCGAUUCGAGCGAAAGCGAGAAAGCGUUGCCAACGGCAACGACCCGAAGGGCGAAGCGCGCAGCGCUGAGUCAUCCUUCCCCCACCACCA
rnacentral:sRNA from 1 species